rnacentral:sRNA from 1 species
UGAUAGUGUAUGCGUCAAUAAUAUUAGC